GGGGGCACAUCCCAGACCUUUGUCCCUAAGAGGUGAGGUGCUGCAGGUGCCCAGGGCAGGAUCUCACAUGGAGGAAGCAAACUGGCUGUGACCACUACCUGGAGCAGUGCACAUCAUGAUCAGGGGGAAUUCUGUAUUCUGCCAGAGGCUGGGGAUGGUCCCUCAUCAGUCUGUCUCGAUGAACUCUGCCUCCAAGAGAUGUCUAAUGCUCUUCUGAAUUAUCCCAGAUCAUCCAGCUGAAACCCUCUCUUGAAGCCUCCAUCUGAACAAAGAAUAACACCUUUAGUUACAUCUACUUUGGGACUGCCCAAGAGGAAUCCAUCCCAGCUCAGCCUUGUUACUGCAGCUCAUGCAAUA